UACGUAGGGUGCGAGCGUUAAUCGGAAUUACUGGGCGUAAAGCGUGCGCAGGCGGUUCGUUGUGUCGGCGGUGAAAUCCCCGGGCUCAACCUGGGAAUGGCCGUUGAAACUGGCGAACUGGAGUGUGGCAGAGGGGGGUGGAAUUCCGCGUGUAGCAGUGAAAUGCGUAGAGAUGCGGAGGAACACCGAUGGCGAAGGCAGCCCCCUGGGCUGACACUGACGCUCAUGCACGAAAGCGUGGGGAGCAAACAGG
rnacentral:rRNA from 1 species